GGAAGACUGGUUUGCUGAUCAGUAUCAGUUUGCAUUCCUCGGGCUUGGACUUGUGUUCUUUGCAUACUUUAGUGAUCCUCAAAUUUUAGACGAACUGGUUGUUAUCAAACACCUCUAGAAGUUCAUGUAGGAUCUUUGGGAUUGCCUCUGGUGGAGGAAGGACGCCCUCAAGCAUGGGGUAUAUACUAAAGCUACAUGUAAUUGCAGCCAUCGUUGUAAUAGUGAAUGGAGUUCAGACAGUCAGUGUAUCAGACACACCUGCAUGUCAAGAAGAUUCUACUGGAGUGAACUACAGGGGAAACCUAUCUCAGACAAUCAACGGUCAUAAUUGUCAAGCAUGGACCUCUCAGGAUCCCCACCAACACUUUUAUA